rnacentral:rRNA from 1 species
UACGUAGGGUGCAAGCGUUGUCCGGAAUUAUUGGGCGUAAAGAGCUCGUAGGCGGUUUGUCGCGUCUGCUGUGAAAACGUGAGGCUCAACCUCGCGCCUGCAGUGGGUACGGGCAGACUAGAGUGCGGUAGGGGAGAUUGGAAUUCCUGGUGUAGCGGUGGAAUGCGCAGAUAUCAGGAGGAACACCGGUGGCGAAGGCGGGACUCUGGGCCGAUACUGACGCUGAGGAGCGAAAGCGUGGGGAGCAAACAGG